UGGGGGAUAUUGCACAAUGGGCGAAAGCCUGAUGCAGCGACGCCGCGUGGGGGAUGAAGGCCUUCGGGUUGUAAACUUCUUUUGCUCUGAACAAGGCAUGCCUUUGGGGUGUGUUGAGUGUAGGGGUUGAUUAGCGCCGGCUAACUACGUGCCAGCAGCCGCGGUAAUACGUAGGGCGCGAGCGUUGUCCGGAAUUAUUGGGCGUAAAGGGCUUGUAGGUGGCUGGUUGCGUCUGUCGUGAAAGCUCAUGGCUUAACUGUGGGUUUGCGGUGGGUACGGGCUGGCUUGAGGGCAGUAGGGGAGGCUGGAAUUCCUGGUGUAGCGGUGGAAUGCGCAGAUAUCAGGAGGAAUACCGGUGGCGAAGGCGGGUCUCUGGGCUGUUACUGACGCUGAGGAGCGAAAGCGUGGGGAGCGAACAGG
rnacentral:rRNA from 1 species